AUGAUACAAGGCAUUUUUCCUCCUGAGGAUGUGAAGACUAUUCUAUCCAUUAGCAUUUGCGAUGACAUGGAAGACAAUCUAGCUUGGCACUUUGAUCCAAAGGGCAUUUUUUCUGUAAAGUCUGCCUACAAAGUGGGGGUAAUGCUCAAUGAUAGAAGUCGUGGCAGUGAUGCUGCCUGCUCCAGAGUGAGUACGGGAAAGUGUCAGGUAAAUUUUGAUUGGAACCACAUUUGGAAGAUGAGAGUCCCAAACAAGCUGAAGAUGUUUGUGUGGCGGCUAGCCCACAACAGCUUGGCGCUCAGGAUGAAAAUCGCGAGGAUUGGGAUCGAGCUGGACACCUCGUGCCCGGUUUGUCACAGGAAAAACGAAGACGGUGGACAUAUCUUUCUAAAGUGUAAACAUGCUAAGGAGUGUUGGGGGAGGCUGGGGCUGGGGGAGACGCGUGAGAAGCUCCUGCCCUGCAGCUCGGCUCACCAUAUGUUUGAGGAGCUCUGGAAGUGUGACGAAAAUAUAUAG
rnacentral:rRNA from 1 species